CUGAGCUGAGCAGUGAGCUAGCUGAUGGACGACCGACGACCGACGACGAUCUGAUGCGAAGAAAACUCAAAAAAAUAGAAAAAUACUACGAAAAACGUCGCCUCUUGCGUUCCUUUUCCGCACGUUUGCUGAUGGUGGUGUGCGUGUCAUUAACCUGUACGACGGAUCUUUUUUCCUUUGGAUGUGGUGCUGCUCUCGCUCGCUCGCUCCUCACUCUGACUGACUGACCGAUUGAUUGUGCAGUGCGUGGUGGAAUAUUAUUAUCGAAAAAAAGUCCUAAUCCUGUUUGGGAGGAAUUUUCGGGUUUCGUAAUUGUGGAACGUGAAUCGAAGUCGCGGCGAUAUCCGUAACCGACCGCGGGAAAUCCGGAAUAUAGUGGUGCGUGCCGUCGUCGCGAGUUUGCGGAUUGUGGUGCGUUUCUGUGUGCUCUUUGCCUUCAUCGCACUAUUUUGGUUGUGUAUCGCGUUAAUUGCUGCUCCGCAAAGAAGAGUUUCUUCUUUCGCUUGACCGUGUGUUCCGUCGUGGUUUAUUUGUGUAACCUUUGGAUCCUCUGGGGAGCCGGGAUCCGCCCAUUGUACCGCCGCUGGGAGUUCCCUUCCGGAAGUGUUGUUUGGUGAUCAGGAUUGUGUGAAUUUCUACUUUGGAGUGACUCUCUCGGGUGCUGGAACCGAAUUCGGAACCAUCCGAUGGACACAGGAGUUUGAGGAGUUUUGAUCGGACAAGAACAAUUUUGGACACUGGAAGCGAUCCGCGUAUCAAAAGGACAUCAAGAUGUUCAACGCGGGCGACUCGUUCGGGUAUCUGUUCGAGAAAAAUGACCCGAUACAUUCGCUUAACAACUUUGCGACCUCGUCGCAGACAAUUGACAGGUAAAAGGGAGGAGUGCUUCCCAUCAUCAUCACAAUUACAAGGAAAUCUGGUAUUGUGUUUUAUGCAUGUAGUUCAAGCAUUCUCUAUAUACACUACUCAUCAGUACGGACUCACUUAAAAAAGUAUUGCAACACUCAGCUGAAUAUUGCAUCACCCCCAAAAAAGUUUAGCAUCACCUGAAAACAGCUAAAUUUGUGCUGCUUUAUCUCCAAAUCCUGAUAAUAUACAGAGGUACAGUCUUUAGCAAAGUUGUUCGGAAGGUCGUUGGCAUCACAAUGGGUAGCAGUUUGAUUCGCAAUUCUGCCGCUGGGUGACGCUAGUGAGCAUGAAAAAUUAGCAUUUUUAACUAGUUCUAUCUCGUCAUCCUGAUGAGAUAGAAAGUUCAAGUCUUCGGCAAAGUUGUUCGGAAGGUCAUGGACAUCGUAAUGACAAGCAGUUUGGUUUGCAAUUUUGUCGCUAGGUGACGCUAGUGAGCAUAGAAAAAUGAACAUUUUGAACUAGCUUUAUCCCGUGAUUCUGAUUAGAUAGAAAGUUCAAGUAUUCGACAAAGUUGUUCGGAAAGUCGUGGACAUCUUAAUGACAAGCAGUUUGGUUCGCAAUUCUGCCGCUAGUGAGCAUGGAAAAUUAUAAUUUCUUACUAGUUCUACCUCGUGAUCCUGAUGAGAUAGAAAGUUCAAGUCUUCGACAAAGUUGUUCGGAAGGUCAUGAACAUCAUAAUGACAAGCAGAUUGGUUCGCAAUGCUGCCGCUAGGAGACGCUAGUGAGCAUGGGAAAAUGAGCAGUUGCCAAUGACAAGCAGUUAAUGAAGUGAAUCACACCUGAAUCACUUGAAUAUUAAGUAAAUUAGACCUGAAUCAUUUGAAUAUCAAGUGAAUCAGGCCUGAAUCACUUGAAUGUCAAGUGAAUUAGCCCUGAAUCACUUGAAUAUGAAGUGAACCAGAGCUGAAUUACUUGAAUAUCGAGUGAAUCAAACCUCAAUCUUUUGAAUUUGAAGUGAAACAGUCUUGAAUCACUUGAACAUGAAGUGAAUCAGACCUAAACUAUUUGAAUAUCAAGUGAAUCAGUCCUGAAUCACUUGAAUAUUAAGUGAAUCAGACCGAAAUUUGCAUAUUUUUAGGAUUUCGAGAUACAGCUGCACAUAUGUAGUUGUUUUGAGGUGAUGCUAAACUUUUCAAGGUGAUGCAAUAUUCAACUGAGUGUUGCAAUAUUUUAUUAAGCGAGUCCGUUCUUAUGGCGGGUAGUGUAUAUCUAAAAUAAAAGAUAUGAAUAUUAAAAUAUUUGAAUGUAAAUGAAAUUUUUCAUCGCAUGUAAGAUGAACAUGUAAGAUUCCAUUAUGUGAAUGAAUGUUCCCUGCGAUUCAUGAAAAUCUUUUUUAUUUUCUGGAAAAUUAUUGGCUGUAAAUAUCCAGAAUUUCCGAUAAGCUUGCGGUUUACUUCCUGUUGCUGCUGCUGAAAAUAACGCUGAUCAUAUAUUGUAUUUUCUACGAAUAAUCAGACUUUCACGACGAAAUUGAAAUCAUCCGAAAAUUUGACGAGCUUGGUGGUCUAAUGGCUACCA